rnacentral:rRNA from 1 species
GGCGGCGUGCUUAACACAUGCAAGUCGAGCGGAAAGGCCCUUCGGGGUACUCGAGCGGCGAACGGGUGAGUAACACGUGAGCAACCUGCCCCAGGCUUUGGGAUAACCCCGGGAAACCGGGGCUAAUACCGAAUAUGACCUUGCACCGCAUGGUGUUUGGUGGAAAGUUUUUCGGCUUGGGAUGGGCUCGCGGCCUAUCAGCUUGUUGGUGGGGUGAUGGCCUACCAAGGCGACGACGGGUAGCCGGCCUGAGAGGGCGACCGGCCACACUGGGACUGAGACACGGCCCAGACUCCUACGGGAGGCAGCAGUGGGGAAUAUUGCACAAUGGGCGGAAGCCUGAUGCAGCGACGCCGCGUGAGGGAUGACGGCCUUCGGGUUGUAAACCUCUUUCAGCAGGGACGAAGCGUAAGUGACGGUACCUGCAGAAGAAGCGCCGGCCAACUACGUGCCAGCAGCCGCGGUAAGACGUAGGGCGCGAGCGUUGUCCGGAUUUAUUGGGCGUAAAGAGCUCGUAGGCGGCUUGUCGCGUCGACCGUGAAAACCUGGGGCUCAACCCCAGGCCUGCGGUCGAUACGGGCAGGCUAGAGUUCGGUAGGGGAGACUGGAAUUCCUGGUGUAGCGGUGAAAUGCGCAGAUAUCAGGAGGAACACCGGUGGCGAAGGCGGGUCUCUGGGCCGAUACUGACGCUGAGGAGCGAAAGCGUGGGGGAGCGAACAGGAUUAGAUACCCUGGUAGUCCACGCUGUAAACGUUGGGCGCUAGGUGUGGGGGGCCUCUCCGGUUCCCUGUGCCGCAGCUAACGCAUUAAGCGCCCCGCCUGGGGAGUACGGCCGC